rnacentral:rRNA from 1 species
AGUGAACGCUGGCGGUAGGCCUAACACAUGCAAGUCGAACGGCAGCACAGUAAGAGCUUGCUCUUACGGGUGGCGAGUGGCGGACGGGUGAGGAAUACAUCGGAAUCUACUUUUUCGUGGGGGAUAACGUAGGGAAACUUACGCUAAUACCGCAUACGACCUACGGGUGAAAGCAGGGGAUCUUCGGACCUUGCGCGAUUGAAUGAGCCGAUGUCGGAUUAGCUAGUUGGCGGGGUAAAGGCCCACCAAGGCGACGAUCCGUAGCUGGUCUGAGAGGAUGAUCAGCCACACUGGAACUGAGACACGGUCCAGACUCCUACGGGAGGCAGCAGUGGGGAAUAUUGGACAAUGGGCGCAAGCCUGAUCCAGCCAUACCGCGUGGGUGAAAAAGGCCUUCGGGUUGUAAAGCCCUUUUGUUGGGAAAUAAAAGCAGCAGGUUAAUACCCCGCUGUUCUGACGGUACCCAAAGAAUAAGCACCGGCUAACUUCGUG